rnacentral:lncRNA from 1 species
UGCUGACAGCUUUUGAAAGAUUUAACAACUGGCAGCAAGAAAAACUUCCAUAGAAUCUCUUCUCUGAAAUUUUUUCUCCUGGAAAAAAGGGCAUCACUUAGCAGUACCAGGACAAGAAGCAGAAUUCUUUGGAAUUACAGAAAGAGAAAUGAAGAAAAAUGUGAAUCCCAGUAUGUGAAAAACAUCGGCCUCGCACAAAUAUGUGGUUGGAAAUAAGAUGAUCUCUCAGACCUGCUGGAAAGGUUCUCACAGCAUUACUUUGAGGACCACUGCUGAUGAGUUAAAUUGCUUUUCAAGGUAAUAUCAAAUUGUUUUAAAAAGUGAUUGUGUCAGUUUAUACCCCUACUUACAGUGUAUAAAUGUUCUUAU